AUCUUUUAUUAUUCCGGCCGUAGGUUCGAGGGUAGACCGUGUAUCGUGAGUAAUCACGUGCGAAGACUUUUAUUAUUUUUCUGUUCUAUUCUUUAUGGCGUAUAUUAGCAGUUUCUAAACAAUCGGUUACUCAACGCGAGGAAUGUUAUCUAGAAAAAAUAUUUUGAAAAUUUGAGGUCGAUAACGCAACACGUCUUCUUUGUCAACUAUCUUCUUUAAUGAUCUCUAAGGUCUAUACAGACCUUACUAAGGCGAAACUACGCGGGCCUUUGUACAGUCGUUCGGAAAACUAUGGGAAGUCUUUAAGAGGAAGAAAUUAUUCAAUCAAUAUACAGGCUGUUUCUGAUGUUACUGCAGCUUGUCCAAAACGAUUGGAGAUAACCAAAUUGCAAUCACGAUAGAGUAAUCCGUUUCUCUGAAACCUCUGUUACUUGAAAUGAGAAUGUUGCCUUCGUGAAAAUUUCAUGUAAUCGUAUUUUUUUUUAUUGCAAUUCGUCCAAUUUCAUUAGACGUGGUCAAACUGCAAUCACUUACUUUUUCUUUUAGUUGAUUUCUUUUUGAUUAUUUUCAGCAAAACCUUUUCUAUAAAAGGAAACGCCUUUUUAUCAAAAUCUUACAUCGGACGAACCGAAAUUAUUUACAAUCGGACGACAUCAUGUGUAUAGCUUCCGUUGUCAAGUACACAACGGGAAGAAAGAAACAAGUAUAUAUAAAAUAUUGCUGAACGUUAAAGAAAUGAUGUUUGUUAAAAUUAAAAAUAAAGUACCGAAAAAAAUGCAAAUCCUGUAAGAAAUACUAUAAUUAAGGAUAAAUGUUCAAUAAAAUUUAUGUAUAUUUAUCUAAAGACGUUUUGUUUUUCUUUUUUUUUUUCUUUUACUUAAUAAACAUAU
rnacentral:misc_RNA from 1 species